UAAAUUAUAUAAUUUAUUUAUUAGAUAUUAAAACUUUAAUUAGACAAAUUAAAAUUAAAAUUGUUUAAUGAAUAAGCCUAAAAUUACGGAGAACAUAGCAAAUAAGCAAAUUCUCAAAUAAUAAUAUAGAUAACUUUAAAAUUUCUGUAGGCCCAUUAAAUUAAAUGGGUUUUUAUAGAUCGGCUCUGCUCAAGAAAACAUAAAGAGCCCACCAGCAUACGACCCAAGACAAUUAGGGUUUUCAUAUCUCCUCCAUCCUAGUUGUCAAACUGGUGUGUAAGAAGAAUGUAGCCGUCUCUAUCUUUUCUUACGUUUAAUGAGGGAUUGUUUGUUAUGUAUUUUCUCCCGCAUUAUAUAUUCUUGUUCUGUGAUUUGGAAUUUAUGAUAUAAUUGCGAAUGUUUUCGUCUUAAUAUUUUUUCAAUAAAGAAAGUGGCGAUGAUGAAAAAAAGGCCGGACUUACGGCUGCUACCACUCUCUUACGGAUGUUUAAGUGGGUGUUGUAGUAGAAUGAUGCUAAAGUUUCCAAAGGUUACUUCGCUGAGCCUCCUCUCUUCUCUUUCUGAAAAUUAUUAGCCCAUUUUUAUUCUUCUGAAGUUUUUUUUUCUAAAUCAAAAGCAAAAAUGCUUAAUGAAAUUAUUAGUGAAUAUAUAGACUUGUUUUAUACAACAUAAUAAGUCAGACUAAUUUACUUGAGUCGAGGCCAUGCAAUAUGUUCUUCUCGAUCUUAAUCAAAGCAAUCUGAUAAUUAAUAUGCUCGAGCUGGGGAAAAUCUUUGUCGGUUACUCGGGUUCGUUCUUGUGGGUUUUGGCCUCUGUUGUUGAUAUCGUCAUGGAUUCUUAUCUAGUUCAAUAAAUAUUCCACUAUUCACUUUAAGUGUUACCAAUCAUGAAUCAUAGAAACAAAGUCUAAUGGCUAUCUUAAUGGUGUUAUGUUUUUAAUUGUAGCCCUUUGCUCAGAUGUAUUUGAUUUUGAGAUUUUUUUAUAGGUUUAGAACUUGAAUUUCUGAUGUUUUGCAGUAAAGAAUCCUUUUACUCGUGUUUGCUUUUAGACAGCAUUUUUGCCGGCCUGUGACUGACCGAGUGCAGAAGCCGUACUUCGGCUUUAGCUCAAAAGAUGGGGUCUAAUCACUGGACUGAGGAUACCUUAUGACUGCGUUUCUCGUCAUGGUUUUAAAAGUUGUAGUUACCUUGGUUGCUGUUGACAUGACUUGAACAGAGGCUCAUAUUUAUGAUGAAAGAUGCGUCAACAACGGUGCAAAUUACAGGGCGAGGAGUUGCGCUCGUUGGUUUGUUGUUCUAUGUCUAUGGUAGCUUAUCACUUGUCUAAUGUGCCUCGUUACUUCGAGGACUAUAGCUGAAAACUACUACAUGAAGAGUGUUAGUGAAUGUUACAUGACAUUUGGGUGGUCAUGACUCAUUUCUUAUGUUCGGCUUUGGUCUGUGCCACUGACAGUGACGCACAGUUUCACCAAUGUGUCGACUAUACUGCAUUUCUGCUUAUCUUCUCUGCAUGAUGCAUCUGUUGUUACUUGUUGGUUGUUACACUGUUCAAUAAUGCACAAAUCUUGAUCUCUGUUAGUUUUCCAUUAACCUUGUAAACAAAUUUGUUCAUCCGGUCAUAUAGAAAAAGUUGACUUCAUAAACGAAAUGAUAUAUUCUUUUUUUGUUGCAAAA